AAAACAAAUUAAACCUAGCUAGCCCUCAACCCUCUCUCGACACUCCCGACCCUAACCUCCCGACACACACACACACACUCUCUCUCUCUCUCUCUCUCUCUCUCUCACAGAUUAAACCUAGCCUCUCGACGUCUCUCUCUCUCUCUCUCUCGAUUGAAUUGUGGGUGACCUGAUUGAAGAUCUCUAUCCACCGUAAGCUCCUCUCUCGAUUCCUCAACCGCCCUUCUUCCUCCUCCUUUCUCCCUUUCCCUGCUUCUCAAACCCUCACCGCCCUCCAAGUCCCGGAUAUACUCUGAUGUCAACAUCAUCCGCCCCAAGGAGUAUUGGGACUACGAGGCCCUCACCGUCCAAUGGGGGUCAGUCAAUCAUUUUCUCCUCUCUUGUUCGUCUGGAUUGUGUAAAAGUUGUUGAAUUUAGAGAAAAUUGGAUGCAAAUGUUUUGAUUUUUUAGCUGCAAUGGAAUUCGUAACGAUGCUCUGAAAAUUGGAUUGUGUACUUCCCUCAAGGCCACAGCGAACAGGUGCAUGGAUAAUGCCGUAGGUGGCUUUGUGCUUAUCUGUUAGAACUGUCAAGUAUAGUUUACCUUUUGUAUAAAUUCAAUUCUUGUUUCAAUGCGGCUAUGAUAUCGAGCUCAUUUAGUAUUUUCCUCUACUGUUUUUAAUUGCAACUCCUUGAUGAGCUUCGAUUUCGAAAGGCUUGGUAAAUUAUAGGCAAUUUUUGGUUUUUCUUGUUACUAUGAUUGGCAUGUUAUCGUUUUUAAAUCCCUUGUGGUGUGGAAGUAGUUUUUGCCUCAUGAAGUAGUCUGGUUUAUUGGCUGUGAACGAUUUAAAGCUUAGCAAAGAGAGGAAGGUAUUCAGUUCAGUGUGGGCUCAUUAUUUCUGGGCGGUUUGUGUUGCUACUAUUAUAGUCGUAACUGAGUAUUAACUAGGGUAGUUGUGUUUAUCAAAUAUAGCACCACGUUUUUAUUUGCCUAGGGAAGUGUCUCAUUUCACUUGAGCUCUCCCAGUCUCCGUCUUACAAUAUCUCACUAAUUUAGCCUUUUCAUAUGAACUGAAGUGAAGCCAAGCACUCUCCUUCCAUUUGGUUUUCCUCAUCAUAUCACAAGGUUCCACUGUCCUUCGGUCGUGAAGCCUGCAUUGGCUACCACUGCUUUUGGUCGUGGAAGGUUAACAAGAAGCAACCAUGGAUGGUAUGAAACCGCAGUGGAAAGCGAUAGAUUUCAAGUGGAUAAGGGAGAACAAGGAUGUUGUUGCUUGGGAUUCAUUGGAAUCUCCUGAAGAAGGAAGACUUUCAGAUGCCAAAAAAGAAAUGUUGUGCAGCUUAGUUGGAGUUUAGCUACAACUGGAGUUUUGAGUGGAUGGAUCACAGGUGAUAUUGGAGAAGGACAACCUAAUGGAGCAAUGAAAGUUACAGACAGGAAAAAGAACAUAUUUAAACUGUCUCAAGGUGAAUAUGUUGCUCUGGAAAGCAUUGAAAGCAAAUACUUGCAAUGCCUCCUUAUUACAUUGAAAAGGUCUUGGAGGACUGGGCAGCUGAGCAUCAUUUGACUGAUGACUGAUGCAAAUAAGAAUAUAGUGCACAAGAUGCUUGAUAAAAUGGCACAGGAAGGUUUUGUUGAAGCGAAAAGAUAUUAUAUCAGCUUUUGAUUCAUGUAUAGCUAGCUAGGAAUGCUUUCUUGUUUGGUACAUUAUGUAGUUACUUGAAUGUAUGGAUGUUUGAAAAAUGGCAA